GAUGAACGCUGGCGGCGUGCCUAAUACAUGCAAGUCGAGCGAACAGACGAGGAGCUUGCUCCUCUGACGUUAGCGGCGGACGGGUGAGUAACACGUGGAUAACCUACCUAUAAGACUGGGAUAACUUCGGGAAACCGGAGCUAAUACCGGAUAAUAUAUUGAACCGCAUGGUUCAAUAGUGAAAGACGGUUUUGCUGUCACUUAUAGAUGGAUCCGCGCCGCAUUAGCUAGUUGGUAAGGUAACGGCUUACCAAGGCAACGAUGCGUAGCCGACCUGAGAGGGUGAUCGGCCACACUGGAACUGAGACACGGCCCAGACUCCUACGGGAGGCAGCAGUAGGGAAUCUUCCGCAAUGGGCGAAAGCCUGACGGAGCAACGCCGCGUGAGUGAUGAAGGUCUUCGGAUCGUAAAACUCUGUUAUUAGGGAAGAACAAAUGUGUAAGUAACUAUGCACGUCUUGACGGUACCUAAUCAGAAAGCCACGGCUAACUACGU
rnacentral:rRNA from 1 species